rnacentral:rRNA from 1 species
GACGAACGCUGGCGGCGUGCCUAAUACAUGCAAGUCGAGCGGACCACUUCGGUGGUCAGCGGCGGACGGGUGAGUAACACGUGGGCAACCUGCCUGUAAGACUGGGAUAACACCGGGAAACCGGUGCUAAUACCGGAUAAUCCUUUCCUUCACAUGAAGGGAAGCUGAAAGACGGUUUCGGCUGUCACUUACAGAUGGGCCCGCGGCGCAUUAGCUAGUUGGUGAGGUAACGGCUCACCAAGGCAACGAUGCGUAACCGCCCUGAGAGGGUGGUCGGCCACACUGGGACUGAGACACGGCCCAGACUCCUACGGGAGGCAGCAGUAGGGAAUCUUCCGCAAUGGACGAAAGUCUGACGGAGCAACGCCGCGUGAGCGAUGAAGGCCUUCGGGUCGUAAAGCUCUGUUGUCAGGGAAGAACAAGUACCGGAGUAACUGCCGGUACCUUGACGGUACCUGACCAGAAAGCCACGGCUAACUACGUGCCAGCAGCCGCCGUAACAC